AAAAAACAACAGCAUUUCUGCAGAGUCAAACAGACCAACACAAGGCUGCCGCUCCUACAAGGACUAGAGAUUUGUAGAAUUUUGUUAUUCCAUUGAGCCAGCUUCCAAACAUAUUUGAAAUAUUGCGAGAUUUGGAGAGGCCCCAUGCUGAGUACACCGUAGCCCAAACCAUCAGUGUAAACUGACAGUCCAAAAACAGAUGUUGUAUCAUUUCAUUUUCAUGACAGAAACAACACUAUUGAUUGCCUUGCCAGUUUCGUUUCGCAAGAUUAUCCUUUGUGAGAAUUACACCGCGUUUAAGAUACCAAAGAGAAAUGUUAAUUUUGAGUGGAAUUUUCAGCUUCCAAAGACCUUUAUUUACAUUUGGAACAUUCUGAUUGAUUAGACCCCGAUAAUGUGAUUUCAUCGAAAAAACACCCGUCGAGUCUAGAUUCCACCUAAAAUCAUUGCUCUUCGUGAGUAAGGGCAACUGUUGCAAGACGUGAAACCAGGUUGUUCCACAUCACUAACUUGCAGCCUAUUGGAUCUCUACGCCAGGUUAGAUUGGGAUUCGAUGUAUUAAGCACCUCACCCACCGUAUCCUGUUUUUUCCUAACUUGUUAUAAAGUUGAGGGUAUUGAUGUCAUAGGGGUCUAUUGCCAAGCGAGGUAUCCUCCCAAAAUCUCACUUGUGACCCGUUUUUUAUGUGGAAUGUUCCAAAUUUAAGGAACUCACUCUUGACUUUCAUUAGACUUGCCUAGAAAUGAGAGUCUCCGUUCCUCCACUGGACUUGUACCAGGGGCUUAGGAUAACUCAUCAGGCUUUGUGAAAGAAUGCAGCCAUAUUCUAGUAUCUAGUAGUGUAGGUUUUCCUUUGUCAUUAAUCACUAAUUUUGCUUCGAAUUGACUAACUUGUUUUUUAUGGGAAGUACUAAAACAAAAUCUAAGUUGAUGCACAGUACCCUUCCAUACUUAAAUUAAAUAGGCUGAAGUGGCAACAUAUUAAUUAUUUAUACUUUUUUUUGCAGAACUUGCUUCAUGGAGUAAUACGUGGAGCAGCUUACUUCUGCUCAUGUGGUGACUGUGAUCAUAAUGGGAAGGCGCUCACUGCGAGAGCUUUUGAGCUGCAUGCAUUGAAGAAUGGAAAAGAGACGCACAACCCGAAUGACCAUAUUAUUCUUUGUUCCUCAAAUAUCUCGCUGUUUGAAGCAUGCCGGAAACUGAAAGAAGCGAGAAAUGAAACUAUACUGGAAGCUACAUUUGAUGCUAUCAUAAAAAGCCAUCACGAGGCGGUGCCAAAACAGAAUGUGGAAGCCCCUGUCGUUAACACAUCUGCUGAUAACUCCAAUAAUCUGAUUGACAUUGUUCGUAAUCUGGAGAAAAGGGUGGAGAGCACCGAGAAGAGGAUGGAAAACCUUCAGUCUCACGUGGACACAAUAGACAAGAAUAUAGAUUUUUUCUGCAAAGAAAUGGUCCGGUACCAUGAGCUAUUUCAAGAUUUAUCUAAGGUUUUGGGAAGAUUUGUUGAUGACAUGUGAAAUUGAGAAGAAGUAUACAAUGUGAUGGCCUGAGAACUUCAGUCUUGCUAGCACUGCUAGCAGGAGCAGUACCAAUAUUAAAAUGUUAUGGUUGUUGCUAUUGAUAAGUUAGACUUAAUUGGUAGACUUUACCUUAA